AGUAGCUUUGGAUAAUUUCAAGUGUUUAACAAUAUAUUAUAAAUAAAACAUCUGACUGACGCUAGAGGUCAACGAACGUUCCGUAAAUAGGUCACUCGAAGUCAAUGCCGCGUCGUAGAUGGGGCAUUGACCCAAGUUGUGCACACUAUACAAUGCAGGUUUG